AUGAACCUUCUAGACCCAUAUGCACUUUGUAAAUACCGCAGCAGCUGACACAAGCCAGGCCUCCAAUGUGUAUGCUGUAGUAUCUUCCUAAACACUGAAGGACAGAUCCAUGUUAUCAUAGUUACAGGUUAUUUCUGAGGUCAUAUUUUUUCGGACAGCAAAUGCAUACAAGGGAGACACCUGGUUCCAGCAUCACCUUACAGCAGAAGCAAGAGAAGCCCAGGAUACCAGCCAGGAGGAUGGAGAAGACCACUUCAUCUUGGCCACAUUCUUCCCUUAAAUGGAAUUCUGAGCACCCCAAAUCUCCUGGAAGCCUGUGUGCAAAAUGCUGCACUGGACCAGAGGGCCAACACAUUUAACUCCAUGUAAAGGGGACAAGACAAACCUAUCCCCCAUGAAGUAAUGACAGGGAAAGGGAAAACAAGAGCAUCAACAAGCCCAUCAGCCUGGAAUCCCGAGCACCAAGGCAGCCUAUCCCAUAGGCAGAGUCCAGCAUGGAGGCUGUGUUGAAAACACAGUAAUUAGUGACUGUUGGAGAGGCCCCAGCCUACACUGUGUUCUGGCACUGGUUUUGCCUGUCCUUUCAAGAAAGAGAGGUUCAGAGCAAAAGCCAGGCAUGGUGAUGCUACCUACAACUGCAGCAUUCAUCAGGGACCUCCACAAGUUCAGAGGCACAGCCUGAACUAGAGUGAAACCUUGUCUUAAAGUUUUAUUAUUUUA